GACGAACGCUGGCGGCGUGCUUAACACAUGCAAGUCGAACGGAAAGGCCCUGCUUUUGUGGGGUGCUCGAGUGGCGAACGGGUGAGUAACACGUGAGUAACCUGCCCUUGACUUUGGGAUAACUUCAGGAAACUGGGGCUAAUACCGGAUAGGAGCUCCUGCUGCAUGGUGGGGGUUGGAAAGUUUCGGCGGUUGGGGAUGGACUCGCGGCUUAUCAGCUUGUUGGUGGGGUAGUGGCUUACCAAGGCUUUGACGGGUAGCCGGCCUGAGAGGGUGACCGGCGACAUUGGGACUGAGAUACGGCCCAGACUCCUACGGGAGGCAGCAGGGGGGAAUAUUGCACAAUGGGCGGAAGCCUGAUGCAGCAACGCCGCGUGCGGGAUGACGGCCUUCGGGUUGUAAACCGCUUUCGCCUGUGACGAAGCGUGAGUGACGGUAAUGGGUAAAGAAGCACCGGCUAACUACGUG
rnacentral:rRNA from 1 species